CCUACGGGGGGCAGCAGUGAGGAAUAUUGGUCAAUGGACGAGAGUCUGAACCAGCCAAGUAGCGUGAAGGAUGACUGCCCUAUGGGUUGUAAACUUCUUUUAUAUGGGAAUAAAAUGUUCCACGUGUGGGAUUUUGUAUGUACCAUAUGAAUAAGGAUCGGCUAACUCCGUGCCAGCAGCCGCGGUAAUACGGAGGAUCCGAGCGUUAUCCGGAUUUAUUGGGUUUAAAGGGUGCGUAGGUGGAGUUUUAAGUCAGGUGUGAAAGUUUGGGGCUCAACCGUAAAAUUGCAGUUAAAACUGGCAGUCUUGAGAAGAGUAAGGGUGGGCGGAAUUGGUGUGUAGUGGUGAAAUGCUUAGAUAUCACGAAGAACUCCGAUUGCGAAGGCAGCUCACUGGACUGCAACUGACACUGAGGCUCGAAAGUGUGGGUAUCAAACAGGAUUAGAUACCCUUGUAGUC
rnacentral:rRNA from 1 species